GAGUUUGAUCCUGGCUCAGAUUGAACGCUGGCGGCAUGCCUUACACAUGCAAGUCGAACGGCAGCACGGGAGCUUGCUCCUGGUGGCGAGUGGCGAACGGGUGAGUAAUGCAUCGGAACGUAUCCUGGAGUGGGGGAUAACGUAGCGAAAGUUACGCUAAUACCGCAUAUUCUGUGAGCAGGAAAGCGGGGGACCUUCGGGCCUCGCGCUCUUGGAGCGGCCGAUGUCGGAUUAGCUAGUUGGUGAGGUAAAGGCUCACCAAGGCGACGAUCCGUAGCAGGUCUGAGAGGAUGAUCUGCCACACUGGAACUGAGACACGGUCCAGACCUCCGUACGGGAGGCGAGC
rnacentral:rRNA from 1 species